GGAACAGGAUUUUUAAAAGCUGUGAUUUGGAAGGGGAUAAACAAAUUGAGAGCUGCAUCAGCAGGUUUUUAGCCCAGGAUGAGCAGGCACUAGUAACAAGACCUGAACAGGGCAGCGGGGUUGAGUCAGCAAGGGAAAGAAUCCCAUAAAAGCUGGACAACAGGAUGUUCUAAGAUGGAACUAAACUGGUCUUUAUGAGCAAUUAGGACAUAGUUUCAUACACACUGCAAAUAAUCACACAGCAAUAAAAUUGAUCCAAGCUUUGAAAUGGGUAUAUGAGGCAGAGUGGAGUCUCCGUGGAUUACUCACGUUCUGGGAUUUGACCCCAGGCUGGUUCCCUCUGGCAAACUCAGUAAUUAUUGAGGAGGAGGAAGCAGCUAUGGCACAGUGUGGGACCUCACACUACACUGCAGGAUACAGGCAACACUUUCACAGUCCACCCAGGAGCUGAUCUGCUGAAACAGGGACUUGAGAGCUCGGUCAGAUGGUGCUCAAAGGGCAAAGAUUUCAAAGCAACAAUCAGAGUGGCUCGGCAGAGGAAGGGCUGGUGGUGCUUGGAACAGCCUUCACAGGGACAUGGCUGGGAGAGUUACCAUGGGAACGGGAGGAAAGGAGUUACACCGCCUUUGUAAUGUGCAAACCCUACUUUCUAAAGAGUGACUCCUGCUGCAGAACUGGAAAAAGGUUGAUUUUUUUUCCUUAUAAAACAAAAAGUGUAAAAACAGUAGAAAAUUUUCAGAUGAAAACACACAGUGCCUUUUCAGGAGUCAGUCAAAUGUCCCUUUCCAUGCUGCUAAUUCUACAGUUUUCAGAAGGAGGCAAUUAUUGCCUCCCAAACUCACCUUGCAGAGCUUCAUAUCUACAUAGAAAUGAAAGUAUAAAUAGAAUCUCAUAGUUUGCACAUCCCC